AAUCAGGGCUUCCAGAAAAAUCGACAGGCGGCAGCAGCUGCGCAUGCGCGGUGAGAGUACGGCUGGUGGGGGAGGGGGGACGACCUCACUCCACGGGGAGGGCGGAACUUCCGCUGCGGCCGGAAGAAGCUUUUCUCUUCAACGACGAGAAUGUGGGCAACAUGGCGGCGGUACGUGGUCCCCGUUUGCUCUACCGGAAUUUGAAGCAGUUACACAAAAACAGAAAGCUGCUCUGCAGCCUCCCGCCUCCGCGGCCCUCACUCUCCGGCUGGAGGACGCCGUGUGUGUUGCUGUGCGGGUCCCUCGGGCCUCUCACCCCAAAGCUGCCUCCGGCUUUUCUCCUCACCCCGAGGCCAAGUCCGGAAGGGCCUCGUGGUUCUUCCUCGUGGACGCUCCAAGCUUCAUGUUUUCUUUCCAGGGACUGAGCGAACACUGAGCCAUGGAAAUUCUGGACAAGAAAACCUCCAGCCUGACUACUCUUUGACCAGACAGCUAUCAACCAUGAUCUGUCAACAGCGGCUGGAGAUCCAGAAGACACAGGUGUGGACCCAUUUUACAUUCCCAGCAGCAGUAUCUAAAGAUUCCAGUUUGUCCAGUCCUCACCACAGUGUGUCGUUUCCCAACUUUUUGAUUACAGCCCUCCUAGUGGGUGUGAAGUGGCAUCCCACUGUGGGUUUGACGUGCACAUGCCUCCCAGCCUCAUCUUUAAUGUCUGCAGGCCAUGCCGUCGUGUAGGGUGUAUAUUCCUAGCGUUCUGGUGGUAGAUGUGUAAUUAAUAAUAAUUUUCUGUUUUUAUAAACAGUGCUGUAGUGAACAUCUUCCUACCACAGUCUUUAAACAAAUUCAUUAUUAUGUCUUUAAUAUAUAUUUCUAAAAGUGCAUUUGUUGGAACAAAAAUAAAGCUAAGGCUUUGGACAUGUAUUGACAAGUUGCCUUCAAAAAUAGAUCAGCUUUAUACUUCCUGCCAUAUCUGACCUCUUUCUUGUA